rnacentral:rRNA from 1 species
GAUGAACGCUGGCGGCGUGCCUAAUACAUGCAAGUCGAUCGCAUUAACUUUCGGUAGUGAGAGGCGAACGGGUGAGUAACACGUAGGUAACAUAUCUAUAUGACGAGGAUAACGGUUGGAAACGACUGCUAAGACUGGAUAGGAGUAGAGGAGGCAUCUCUUUUACUUUAAAGGACUUUUCGGAGUACGCGUAUGGAGUGACCUGCGGCGCAUUAGUUAGUUGGUGGGGUAGUGGCCUACCAAGACGAUGAUGCGUAGCCGGACUGAGAGGUUGAACGGCCACAUUGGGACUGAGACACGGCCCAGACUCCUACGGGAGGCAGCAGUAGGGAAUUUUCGGCAAUGGGGGGAACCCUGACCGAGCAACGCCGCGUGAAUGACGAAGUACUUCGGUAUGUAAAGUUCUUUUAUUAAGGAAGAAAGUGCAGUGGAAAAACUGUAUAGACGGUACUUAUUGAAUAAGCCCCGGC